UUUUCUUUAACGACAUCACAUUGAGAACGCAGUAUUUAUUAAUGUUCACUUUGUCCCUGAAGUCAUAAAGGAAUAUUUUGUCUGUGUGUGUUUUCUUCCACAGAACCAGAUUCAGAAGAUGCAGAGCACAACCAAGCAGAAAAUCCAGGAGAAACAGAAAUCAAUAGAGGAGCUGAAACAGGCUGUGAACACACUGAAGCUCUCUGUUCAGACAGUAGUGGAGAACAAUGAGAAGAUCUUCACUGAGCUGAUCCUCUCUAUCAAGAAAAGACAGCAUGAGGUGACAGAGCUGAUCAGAGAUCAGGAGAGGACUGAAGUGAGCUCGAGCAGAAAGACUCAUGGAGCAGCUGGAGCAGGAGAUCGCUGAUCUCGAGAGGAGAGACACAGAGCUGGAUCAACUUUCACACACACCUGAACAUUUUCACUUCAAGAAUCUGUCUGCUUCUUCUGAGUCAUCCAGUAUGAUUGUUAAUAUUUCAUUUGAUGGACUGAGGAAAUCUCUCUCUGAUCUAAAACAACAUUUUGAACAUUUUUGUCAGGAAGAGAUUAGUAAAAUCAUCCCUGUCGGUAAGAGAAUCCAUCCUGCAUCAAAUCAUUUCAGGAACUCUCACUCUCACAAGUUUUUUUUCUUGUUACUUUUAUUCUAAGUAAAUGAACAGAUGUUUUAUUUUGCACUACAUAUACAGUAUGCAAACUACAAUAUUAAACUUGAUCUCGGUUCCUUUACAGUGGCAAGAAUUCAGAUUUUACCAAUGUCCAGAAAUCACUUUAAACAGCGUAAGUCAAAAAAAAAAUGUAUACACCUAUAUAUGACAAUGUAUGUGUCAUAGUAUGACUAGUGUAUUAAUUCAUAAGAGUUGUAUUUAGAAAUGUACUCUAUUUGAGUUCACAAAAUAGUAUUAAAGGUAGGGUAGGCAAUUUCGGAGUGGCUAGCAAUAGCAAGCUAGCUUUGAAAGCAUGAGACCCCACCCUCCCUUCAAAGCGUCUCCAAAGCCAUGCCUCCUCCAAAACACAUGAACACACACAGCGGAGUCUGCAAAGCACCACGAGACGAGAGACAAAGUUAAAUUACCUCAUGUCUCAAAGCACAUAACAUUACAAUAAUAAUGAACGUAAACAACUUACAGAGCUCUUACUUGUACCACCUGACUGCUGUAGAUUCAUUUUGUCUUUGAUAGUGAUGACAGAAACGUAUAAAUCUGAGUCGUAGGAGCAUAAGCUUGUUGUUUUGCCCUAACGAAAAAGAAGUAUAUUUCAAGUUCAUUUUAUAAAGUAUACUUACGUAAUGUUCAAGUAUAUUUUUUAAGUAUACUUUAUGUAGUAAGUAUACUAGUAUCAAUGUACUAGUAGUAAACUUGUAAGUGUACUAUUUUAAUACUGCUUGGGACUAAAUUGGCCCAAUUGAAGUAUACGUUUAAGUGUACUAUAAGUGUAACAGUAGUAAACUUUAAGUACACAACUAGUUCACAGCUUCGUUUCUCAUUUGUACUGCAUCUGUACUACAAGUGAACUUAUAAGUAUACUAGCAGUUUACUAUUUUAAUACUAGUAGUACAUUUAUAGUAUAUGAAAGUACACUUUGAAAUAUACUCAGUAAACUACUAGUUUAGUGCAAGUAUACUUGUCUUCUUUAAGUUAACAUAACAUCACACUUUUCAUUUUUGCACUUUAAGUAUACUACUAUGUUCCUAUUUAGGUAUUAUAUUUUAUACUUGAAAUACUUACUUUAACUCAUUCCAUUUCAAAAACAUUUUAUUCUAGCUUCAUGAAUCCUUUCUUAUCUACACUUAAAAGUGGGUGAGUUUCAUUUGAAAAAAAAAAAAGGAAACAUUUUAAACCAAAAGCUGAGAAAAUUGCAUUUUUGUUAAAGACUAUGUCCUGAUGGGAUUCAGAACGAUGAUCAAACACAGGUGGAGUAGAUCGAGUCCAUAAACACCCCCAAAGCUUCAUAGUCCUCAUAGUCCACAUCAGAGCCGUUAAAUAUGACACUUAUUUAUUCAACACUUAUUUUUCAACGGCUCUGGUCCACAUAACGUUUAGCAGUUUUUAUUUAUAUGCUGUUUACGGUUUGAUGAUCGCUUUAUUUUACAUUUGCGUGAGUAAUAUUCCAUCGCUUGUUUCAGCUUCUUCUUCUCCUGCAUUUUGAUCCGGAGAUUCUUCACUCUUUCAGGAGAUGCGUAACAGCGCCCCCUACAGUAUAGCCUAAAAAUUCAGUCAAUGGCGAGGGAAGAGUAAAGUAGGUUUGAAGUAAAUUCCUUUGUACACUACCAGUGGACUAGCCUACACAAAAAUUCAGAUACUCAGAAUUAGGAAUAUAUCUGUUUUCUUUAUAAAUCAAUAUUUUCAAAAAAUUUACUUUUAUACUUUUAUAAAUAUACAUUUAAGUAUAUCUCGAUCAAAAGACUGAGUCCAAGUAUAGGCCAAAUAUACUUAGACUUUUCUGUCAGUAUAAGUCAAGUAUACUUGUGCAAUUUUAAGUAAAUUUCUCAGAAGUACAUAAAGUAUAUUUCUGAGAAGUAGCCUACAUAAAAAGUAGACUGAAAGUAUUCUUAUUUUUAGUUUAAAAGAAGUAUGCUAAUAGCACACUUGAAUAAACUUCUUUUUCGUAAGAGUGGUUCAGGAGGAACUGUAAAAGGCUGCUGUUUGUUUGUUUUACUCGGUGACUGUCUGUCGACAACUCUGUAUUUGCAUUCCUUACAUAAAGCGCUGAUGAUGUGUGAUGUCCGUGUGAGCAGGUGUGCGGAGGUAUGGAAAUACAUAUGUUGACAGGCGGGUAUGACAGCGUAUCAUUGCAUUUGGAUCGAAUGCAAUGAUUGGACGAACAUAUUUUGUUCCUGAGACUUCCACAGAAGAUAUAUGUACAUGUUUUAAUACUGAGACUACUUCUAUUAUUGAUUGCUAUCAGAAUGUAACCGAUAUAACAAAAAGUGUUUAUAAAACAAUUUGCCUACCCUACCUUUAAACAAUUUUUUUUUUCAUUGCUAAAAUUAUAGUUGAUCAUAACUGACAAUAACAAUCACAGCAUUCUUGAAUAAUUUUUCUUAGAUUUUUGCAGCUUUACCCUUGAUCCCAACACAGCGAGUGAACACUUUGUCCUCUCUGAGAACAACAGACAGAUGACAUACCCUGAGCAUUGUGGGAGAUAUACAUUCCCCUGCAAGGUGUUUUGUAAGGAGAGCGUGUUUGGACGUUGCUAUUGGGAGGUGGAGUGGAGUGGGAGAUGUGUGCACAUAUCAGUCUCAUAUAAAGAAAUGAGUGGCAGAGGAAAGGGAAGAGUCGGUAUGUUUGGAAACAACAGCACAUCUUGGAGUCUGCAAUGUUUUCCCAAGCCUGUUUUCUGGCAUAAGAGUGUUAAAACUGAGAUCUCAGGCCGUUUAUCCUCUAGAAUAGGUGUGUAUGUGGACUACAAAGCAGGAACUCUUUCUUUCUACAAUGUCUCUGAUACAGUGAGUCUCUUACACUGUGUCCAGACCACAUUCACUCAACCCCUCUAUCCUGGGUUUUGGUUCUGUGCAUCAGGUUCUGGAGAUCUGCUCUGCCCAGAGUGCUCUGGGUUCAACACCAAAACGUUCUCCUCAGUCAAAUUGUGUGAUCUAUAAACAAGUACUGGGGAAAAAUCUGAUACCUUCUUCAACAUGAUUAACAUUACUCAAUAUAUAUAUUCAGCUAGAAUGAAAAUGUUUGUGUUUGUAAAAUAAAUCUGUUUAAAUUUGUGUAUGAUAUUUUCCUUUAAAUUAAAGCGAAGAAUACUUUAAAUGACAUAGGCCUGUUUGUAUUAAAAUUUUUAAUUAAUUUCUGUUUCUGCUUUUCUGUCUCUGCUUUUAAACAUAAACACUGU